CUGCUGAAGCCAGCAGAGCAAGAGGGAGAGCUGUGCAGUGCCUCUUGGUCUGCUGGCUUCCCAGCAAAGCAGAAUGAGGGACAGAAGGGGCUCCGUAAGAGCUCCCUUCCUUCCCUCAUCAUGCAUCACUGUGAAGGCUGCGCAGCUCUCCCUCUUGCUCUGCUGGCUUCAGCAAUAG
rnacentral:miRNA from 1 species